AGCUUCUUGUAAAUUCAUUUAAGUUAUUUAAAAUUCACAAUGGUUGCAAGAGGGUCAGUAUUAAUCCAACAGCCAGUAGUGAAAUUUUUCUGAAAUUUGAAAGAGUUCGAGACCUCUCAGAUUCAAGCAAUAAAAUGAUCACUAACUUGGAAAAGAAAUCCUUUGUUAGGCUGGUCCACAUCAAGAAAAUAGACUCUCAAAAUGAUAAUGAGAAAAAUCAAGGGGCUAACCUGGUGACUCA
rnacentral:lncRNA from 1 species